GAUGAACGCUGGCGGCGUGCCUAAUACAUGCAAGUCGAGCGAACGGACGAGAAGCUUGCUUCUCUGAUGUUAGCGGCGGACGGGUGAGUAACACGUGGAUAACCUACCUAUAAGACUGGGAUAACUUCGGGACACCGGAGCUAAUACCGGAUGAUAUUUUGAACCGCAUGGUUCAAAAGUGAAAGACGGUCUUGCUGUCACUUAUAGAUGGAUCCGCGCUGCAUUAGCUAGUUGGUAAGGUAACGGCUUACCAAGGCAACGAUGCAUAGCCGACCUGAGAGGGUGAUCGGCCACACUGGAACUGAGACACGGUCCAGACUCCUACGGGAGGCAGCAGUAGGGAAUCUUCCGCAAUGGGCGAAAGCCUGACGGAGCAACGCCGAGUGAGUGAUGAAGGUCUUCGGAUCGUAAAACUCUGUUAUUAGGGAAGAACAUAUGUGUAAGUAACUGUGCACAUCUUGACGGUACCUAAUCAGAAAGCAACGGCUAACUACGUG
rnacentral:rRNA from 1 species